rnacentral:lncRNA from 1 species
UUCUAGGGAGAGAUAACAUUCUCUCCCACUCAAAUAUGUUAAAGAAGUUCUGGGUACCUGUAUUUGAUAAUAUUUCUCUUUCCCCUCAUUCUCUGCCACUCAAAUAUGGGUUUUCUAAACCCUCAUCCUUCUGUGUUUUAUCUUUCCCUUGCCCUCUCCCCCUCUCUCUCUCUCUGUUCGCAGCCCUUUGCUCUUGCCCCUCUCUCCAGUCCCAUUACCCUCUCGCCCCUCUCUCCCUUUGCUCGCUAUUCCUCUUGCCCCAAGCUAAGUUUAACUAAUCGGUGUAGUAAUUUGACAUGUUGUUGAUGAGGAUUGAAUUUUGUUAGAACAGUGAUGGUUUUAUGCUGAAAUUGGUGCCUUGAUUUUUGUUGAAUUGGUGGGGUUGAAAUGAAAUAAGUAUCUUGAUUUUUAUCAAAAUGAUGGGGUCAUAUUAUAAUUAGUUUAACUUGUUCUUGAAAUUUACUUGUGGAAUGACGCUUUCUUGGGAAGUGUGAGUAAAAUAAGUGAAAAAAUGAAAAAGAUUGUUAAAUAAGUAGGGUAUAUGUUUCGUCCUCGGCUGGAUUCCAGUAAAAUUAGAGUCUGCUGUUACUGAGGUGUUGGAGAGUUUACUCUUUGAAGGUUAGAGGUAUUAAAUAGUUUGGAUGAUUAUGAGAAUGGCCUGCUCCGUUUCUAGCCUACCUUAUCUGAUUGAAAAGCUACUCUAAUGAAUUUUGCUCAAAACCAUAGGCAAGUGAACUUUGCUUAUGAGAAUGCAAAGAAGAAAUAUGAAGGAAUCUAGUGAGCCACAAAAAUAUCAAUUAGUCUUCCCUCUCUCUUUUUUUCUGAUAUUUUGUGCAUUGCUUAAUGCUGCUUCGCUUGCCUUGCCUUCCUUUUAUUUAACUGCGUGAUUGAUACUUUAAAGGCUAUAUUUAUUUCUUCCUUUUAUCUUGCAGCUCUUCUUGAUCGUGUUUACAGACUAAGUAAAAUUUGAAAAGAGGGAUAGCGAUUAUAGGCAGAGCAGAGGGAAAGAGAGGCGCAAGAGGGUAAUGGGACAGAAAAAGAGGGAGUGGGCAAGAGCAAAGGGCUAGGCAGAGAGAUUAAACGUAUAGGAGGGAUGGGGGUUUAGAAAACCCAUAUUUCAGUGGGAGAGAAUGAGGAGAGACAGAGAGAGAUAGAGAUUCAAGAGACUACAAAUGAGGAGAGAGAGACUUAAAAAAAAAAUUAAUAAUAACCAGACCUUCCUUAAAAUUUCAGCAAGUUAUCAACACAAGAACCCUGAACUUCCUUAACAUUCUUGCAGAUUAUCAAAUACAAUACAGGUACCCGUAACUUCUUUAACAUUCCAGAAAGAUAACAUUCUACUUUUUAGCAAACAAAAACUUUUUGUCUUCAAGAAACAUUUAUCUUCCUGCAAAAGAAACAAUCAUGCUGUAAAGAAGAGAUAUUGAGAAGUUUUGAAUGGGUGUCAGAGGUGUGAAUGAGACAUUUUGGGCUACUCUUGCAUGGGAUAUUUUGGAGCUCAUGAAGGAGACUUCAGAGAUUUUCAUGGGAUCUCUCUCUCCAUCGUUGCCUCUCAUUGAACAUAUAUAUGAAGCUCUCUCUUUCUCUUGCUCUUGCUUUUUCUCAGGAAAGGGGCCAAGUCUUCCCUUAUUUAUGUUCAUAGUGUGUUUGGGCAAACAAUCAACUGAUGUGUUUCUGUUUUCUACCAAUUAAAUUCGUUUUUUCCAGGCUGAAGAGGACAACUUUCGGAUUUUCGGCCUAUACCAAAGCGAAGCGAACCUCUGGUGUGUAGGCUUCAGCCCGCUUCGGUUUGAGCAUUAGGUGAAGCACAGUUUUUUUUAUAUUAAUUUUUAUUUUUUGAAUUUUUAUUUUAAUUUUUUUAUUAUUUCAAUAGAUUGUUAAAAUAUAAUUUUAUAGUUUUUAAAAUAAAAUUUGAAGCCUUCCUCUGAAUCGGCCGAAGCCGAAUUGCUUCAUUUUUUCGACCAAACCAAAAAAAGGCUCUCAAGCGAAUAUGAAAGCACUGGUUUCUAAGUGUAUCUCAAUUGUUGUAAUCAAGUAAGGAAAAUUGUUUCAUGCGGCUCGGACCGCAUGACUACAUAUGCGGUCCACAAAGUGGUAGGUGUUUCAUCUAAAAACAAUAGAAACUAACGGUCUAAAUGUUUUUUUACUAGAAUUAUUAUUUCUAUUUUUAAAAAUUUAUUUAUUUUUUCAUAUUCAUGAUCUCCAUAUUAAACGAAAUGUUCUUGAAAACUAAGUCCAAAAAUCUAUCUCAAAAAUAGAUUAUAAAUAGGCCCGCAUUUUAAAUAUGCGGGCUUGAGCGCAUAGAAACCGAGUCCAUCAAGUAAUAGAAUAUGUCCCAUACUUGAGUCUAAUACCCUUGUCACAGGGAGGUUUGUAUAUGGUGUCCACAAUGUACCAUACAAGUAAGGUACAUCUCCAAAUUUUGUCAAUAGCUCUAGUAUCGAAAACCUUACGAUGGCUUGAAAAUCCAUAUCUAAAUAUAAUUAUGAAAUUUGAAAUUCUAAAAAGUGAUAUAAAUCAGACAGAUCAAUCAACACUUGAGAAUCUUGAAAACUUGAGAAUCUUGAAAAUAGUUGGUCUAGAUAACUUGUUACAAGAUGCAUGUUUUUUAAAAUUUAAAAUUCCCUUUUUUUAAUAGGCCAUCUCGAGGUCGAGAUGAUCAAUCAAAAGACUUUCCAACUUGAGAACACUCUGUUCUAGUGGAUUUUUGAAGUGCACAUUACUAUAGUAUAAGGUUACAUACUUAUAUUCCUUAAUCAGAAAAUGAAGGCCUUUGUUCGAUACGGCAUGCUCAUUUAAGUAUUGAACGAACUGCUUGUCAAAACAAUUUGCAAUGGUCAUCUUCCCUCUAAAUAUUUAAUGAGCAACUCAAUUAUAUUUUUUAUGUGCAUUUUUUGUUCCAAUUCAUGAGGCAUUCUAAUAUUCUCAUUGUAUGAAAAGAUAUCUCUAUAAGCAAAGGCCAAUAAAAUCCAUUUUCAUUUGAAAAUUGGGUACCAUUACAAUCAUUAUAAGACGAAAUUGCACCCUUUCAUUUACAACAAUUAAUAUUCUUCUCAUCCUCGCAGCCAAAAUACAUUACAAGCCUUAAAUGUGACGUCUCUGAAAGGUGAAUGAUAAAAACAAAAGGAAACAUGCACCCUUUUAUUUACAACAACCACUAACUGAGGAAAGUGGUGGAGACCGUGGUAACAUCUCCACACCCAGUUAUCAUAUCGUGGUGUUCAUUUCUACCACAGACAGCCUCAAUUAACAUCUUCAAAAUGUAACUCCCCAAGCUUUUGAAUAAACGGGUAGGGACCUGCCUUUACCAUUGAAUUAGCUAAAAAAAACAACCACGACCUGUGCUUUCCUUUGAAUAAUAGAGGAAGAGAAGAGAGAGAGAUAAGUUUAGGUUGGUUAGUUAAUAUUGUGAAGAAUCCCAGCAUUAAAGGGCGCCCCAACAAGAGAUAAAACAACAUGACCAAUGUGCUUGGAAGAUAAUCCUGCUUCUAUCACCUGGUCUUGUGGUGAUCCAUGGUCAAUGUACUUGUCGGGGAGCACCAUAGCUCUCCACUGUAGCAUUUUUCAUAUGAAGUUGUAUCAAUCGAGAGAGAGAGAGAGACUGAGACUUAAAUGAGAGACAUAGAAAGAGAGAUUAAAUCCCUUGGGGGAGAAUUUUCCAUAUGGGGUUUGGUUCCACCCAGAUUUGGAUCCGAAUUCAGGAAGUAUAAAUGGGAUUUGGAUCCAUAUCCAAUCGAAUCCAACAUGUUCGGAUCCGUAUCAAAAAACUAUAUAUGGGUAUAGUUUUUCUAUCCGGAUCUAAAAACUAUAUAUGGGAUCCGGAUUAGGUAUUCUAAAAGUUUCAAACAUUAUAUAUAUAUAUACUAUUUUUAAAAACCAGGUCGGAUCCGGACCGGAUUCACCUGUACCCAGUUUCGAUCUGAAUUACUACUCAUAUUUAAAUUUUAGAUCUGGAUCUGAAUUUUAGAUCCAAAUCUUGGAUCCAUACUUGGGUCCGCAUAGGAUCUACAAUUUGGGUUUCAAAUCCAAACCGGGUAAAUUCACAACCCUAGCGUAGAGACUUAAAGGCAUUGAAGAGAGAGAGAAAUAGAAUACCUUGAGUUUUCCAUCCAAGAGGCCAUUCAAGGACAAAAAGUGGCAUACAUGAGAACCGAAACCUCCUAUUGAUCCUUCCUCCACUGUAAGUAGAACUUCAUGCUCCAUGGCCAACCUUCUGAUUAAGUCUCCAUCUAGAGGCUUACAAAAGCGCGCAUCGGCUAUGGUUACUGAAACUCCAUGCUCUCCACUAGAAUCCUUCCCUUCCCAAUCUGUUGUUGCAUUUAGACACAAGAAGCUCAUUGAAUUCUUGGAUAUAGUUUAGGAGAAAUAUAAAAUAAGACUAUUUAUUUUUGGUACAAAACGACUGCAAUAACCUUUACUUAUUAGAUGUGAAAUUGGGUGUUGGGGUGGGCCAUUAACCACACUCAAAGUACAAUUUUUUUCUCUUAAAUUUUGUAAUGUACCCCUAGCUACUAGAUUCACAUGUGACAUGAUUAUGACAUUCUUGUGCUAAAGGUAAAUAAUCUAUCUCAAUAAUAUUUAAAUUUGAUGUAAUAUGAAAAAAAAAUAACAUUAUGCACGAUCCAUAUAAGCAUAGAAAAUAAAUGGUCAUAAUCAUCUAAUCAAAGGUUGGACGUGAUGGAGAGUGGAACCUACAACUUGGAAUGGAGUAGAGCCUGGUUCAAGUCAGCUUGGUGAGUUUUGAGUCACACAAUCAUGAUUAUGACUUAGAAUCAUUAUUUAAUUAAAAAAAAAAAUUAUUUAAAGGUGAAGCUCUAAACAAUCAAAUUAAAACGCAUCUCAAAAAUUCAUUAAAAAAUAUUAUUUGGAUGGUAAAAAAUCCUCAAAAUGGUAUUGGUUAUGGGUGACUCGAGUUGUUCAAGAUAUGGGCAGAUUCAGUCCCUGGUGAAUGGGUGACUCGAGUAAGUCCAAGUUGGACUGGCCCUUUUUCUGGGCACUCAGGCAGAUCAUCAUGUGUCAUGCACCAUGUGGAAUGGACCCCACUAAGAAUGCGCUCUAAGCAAAAGCUGUCUGGUUGGUGGGUGCCAAUAUGUGCCAUCCAGGGCUGCAUUUUAGGUCCCAAAUUAAUAUUAUAAAAAUAAAAAGAGAGUGAGAGAAACCUGAUGUAAUGGGUUUUAAAUUUUCGAAGUUUAUAAUAUUUUAGAUUUUAGGUUUAAGCUUUAUUUUGGGUUUCUAGUUUUCUUUAAGUAUGUUUGUGUUUUUUUCAUUUUAUAGAGAAUAUAGAGCUGGAAUUGAAAGCUUUUUUUUUUUUUUUUUAAAGUAUGAAGAAUUAGGAUUUAAUUUUUGUUAGAGUUUCUCACGGAAUAAGUUAAGAUUUAGAGUUUUUUUCUUUUAUAAAUAUAUAGCUAUUUGAGCAGAAAAAUAUAAAUAUAUAUUUAGAGAGAAGAGAAGAAGAAUUAAUUUUUGUGUUGUGAAAUGAUUUUUGAGGAGACUCUCUUUUAGACCCUAAAAAGGAUAUAUUCUUAUUCUAUAUUUUUCUAGUUAUUUUUUUUUAUUUUUUUCACCUUUUUAACAUUAAAGCCCCCACCUCAUUUAACAUGAUAUGUCGACAAUAUAUAAAAAGGAAAUGCACCUAUAGUCUUUCUCUCUCUCAUGGGAAUAGUGAAGGAUAAGAAGUACCUCUAAGGGUGUACCCUUAUGGUUCGGAGGAAGGGGUGAACCCACUCCAUUGCCUCUUGGGAAUCUAAAGCAAGAGGGUCUAUCAUCAAUGGAGGCAGCUGUUGCAACCAUGUGAAUGAGUUCAGACUCAUCAGAGAGCCCCAUCACUACCAUGUUGGGGAGGCAAGCCAUGAAAGUGGUGUCAAAAGCUCCACAAUAUGUUGGACCAUCUGCCCCAACUAGUCCAGCCCUAUCCAUUGCAAACCUCACUGGAAGCUUUUGUAGAUCCACAUCAUGAACCACCUGUGCCAGUUUCCAAGUGCUUAAAAUUGCUCAUUUUCAAUUUAGAGAGAGAGAGAUCAGUAAGCCUACUAUGUGAGAAAUAUCGAGUGUUGGUUUGCAAGCCCUAAUAUCCUUGUAAGACACUAGUCUCCUAGUAAGACAUUGAGCACAUUCGGAAAUGGUGGACAUAUUAUACACGGUAUAAUGUGGAUUAUACACUGUAUUAUGAGGCAGAUGUGAUUAACGGUACCAACACGCCGGGCUUGGGAAGCCAGGCAUGGUGCGGGGUAGCCCUGGCCUAGCCGGGCCCACGUCCCCAUAGGGUUGGCCAAGCCAUGCCAAAAAAACAAAUGAAGAAAAUGUUAAAAAAAAAAAGGCCCGCACAGACCUUAGCCUGGCAUCGGGCUAUAGUUUGUGGCCCAAGCCCUAACUUUUUAGGGUUGGGAUGCCUGGCCAGGCUACAUGGCCCAUUGCCAACCCUAGAUGUGAUAGGUACAAUGGAAGCAAGCAGAGCGAGAGAAAUCGGCAUCUAGUAAAUAUGUAAAGUAAUGUAUAUUUUAUUUUAAGAGAUAUUUUCAUAUAAGUCCCUUGGCCAUGAAUAUUUAUUUUUAUAUUUUUCCAUUUUUUUUAGAAAAUUUUAAAAAUACCCCUGAGCACAUUACAAAAAUUCCUCUCUUAUUCGUCCAAUUCAUGCCACAAAAAAAUUUGUAAAUGGUGUGAACAUACUAGUGUUAAUAGUGUUACAUAUAGAGAGAGUUUUACAGAGAAGACAGUCUGUGUUGUGUACCUGAUCAUACCCUCUUUGCAGAAAGGAAGAGUAAAUGGCACAGAAAGGCUUGAGGCCCUCGACUGCCAUGCCUGCUGCGAACGUUACUGCAUGCUGCUC